rnacentral:lncRNA from 1 species
UGUUAGAUGUAUGCCCUAGAAGCCAACAAGGCCGACACAUGUAUUCUUUCUAGGACAUAAUUUUGUAUUUGAUUUUAAAAUAUUAUGAAUAACUUUGGGUUUUUAUUUCCAUUCAUGUUGUGUAUGUGUCCAUGAAUCGUCCAAGGAAUUAAUAAGAUGAUGACAUAUAUUUUCAAGUGUUGAGAAUUUGAGACAUGUGUCAUUGGUGAUUAAUUCCUAAAUGCUCCCGAUCAAUGGAUCAUCACGGGGACGGUGAUUGAUCCAGUGAGAUUGGUGCAUAGGUCGCUUCCCUUUUGGGUAGACGAGUCUCGAGUCGACAGUGUGGGGACACUGAAGCGAAUAUGCAGGUGGUUGUUAGAGAACAAGGGUACCGAGCGUGACCAACGCGAGAAGUCACUUGGAUGUCUACUCACUCGUCAGUGACUUACUCAAUUGUUGCAGUAGUGUGACUGGUCCUUUGACCUGCGGUGCCUCGGCUAUUCACAAUGAGGUUACUGUAGUUUGACUGUACAUACACUUGGUCCCUAGCCAUUCGGGUCCUUGCGGUGCAUGUUGGCUGCAGUAGGUUCAUUGUAGGAAUAGGGUGCGCACUUAGAUGGAAUCUAUCUCCCUUGGUAGAUAGGGGUGUUAGUCCUAUGUGAUUUAUGAGACCGAGUUUAGAAGACCUUGGCCAGGGCAGAAUAAAUAGCGGAAAAGGGUUUCCGAUAUUAGAAACUCGAGUCGAAUAAAUUUAACAUAUGACAGACGAUGGGGUUUGACGAGUUAUUCCAUAACCUCCGUCUAGUCGGGACUCAUGAUAGAAGGAUUGUAUCACACGGUAACUGCACCAAGAGGUUCAUUAUUCCAUUCUACUGGAAUGCCACUACAUGCUGCUAGGCGUCACUGGUGGAUUGUGAGACUCAUGAGAAUUAUCUAGAUGAUCGAUAAUUCUCAUUGGGCUGAGUUGGAAUUGUUCUAAUCCAUUGAAAGGAGUUUCAGUGAUAUUGUUGAUAGUGAUCAAAAUAUAUCUCACUACCAGAUAGAAUAGAACCUAUGGGGUCACACACAUAAGAGGUUGUGAUUGAUCGGAUAGCUAGAUCACGAUUAUUGAAUCGCCGGAGGACCUAAUUAUCAAUUUAAUGAUAAUUAGACUAAUUUGUAAUUGUUACAAAUUAGUGGUAUUAAGGUGUAAAUGUUACAAGAGAGGACUUACUAAUAGUUAGUAAAUUAUAAGAGGACUUAUGUGCAAGUGUUGUAUUAUUAAUUUGAUAAGAUUAAAUUAAUAUAAAAUUCAAAUCGAAUCAAAUUAGGAUUUGAUCGAUGUAACCAAUUAAGGAAAAGAUAAAUUUAAAUAUAGAUUUAUACUUAUCCUUAAUUGUCAUUAUAUUAUUAGGAAUAGGAUUAUAUUCCUAUAUAUAAUAUACGGGAGUUUUUAGAAAACCCUAGCCCGUCAUAUCUCUUCUCCUCUCUUCCAUCUUCUAGCAAAUAGACGUCCUUUUGCAAGGGAGCUAGCACCCCGGUGAGGACAUCGAUCAAAUCAAGAACCUCGUGUGGAUACCUAUAGAGGCCGGACGCGUGUGCGGCUUCAAGAGAACCCGAUUCCACGAUCAUCAAAUUGAGGCAAGGAUUUAUCCGCGAAAAAGGUAAAGAUUCGAUCUUACUUUUCUCCUUUAAUCUUAAAGAACAUGAGGGAUCCUAAUUGCGUGGUUUUGAGAUUAGAUCUCGAGAGUUUUUCAAAAUCAAAUCUGUUUGAUUUCUUUUUCCGCUGCGUUUUACCGUACGCAAUUUUCUAACAAGCCGGACUGAAGGUCAAUCGUAGAAUACACUCGCGACCCCUGCAGCUGAUCAAACAGGUCGUCGAUAC